AUUGAACGCUGGCGGCAUGCCUUACACAUGCAAGUCGAACGGUAACGGGCCUUCGGGUGCCGACGAGUGGCGAACGGGUGAGUAAUACAUCGGAACGUGCCCGAUCGUGGGGGAUAACGAGGCGAAAGCUUUGCUAAUACCGCAUACGAUCUACGGAUGAAAGCAGGGGACCGCAGGGCCUUGCGCGGACGGAGCGGCCGAUGGCAGAUUAGGUAGUUGGUGGGAUAAAAGCUUACCAAGCCGACGAUCUGUAGCUGGUCUGAGAGGAUGAUCAGCCACACUGGGACUGAGACACGGCCCAGACUCCUACGGGAGGCAGCAGUGGGGAAUUUUGGACAAUGGGCGCAAGCCUGAUCCAGCCAUGCCGCGUGCAGGAUGAGGGCCUUCGGGUUGUAAACUGCUUUUGUACGGAACGAAAAGCCUUCUUUUAAUACAGGAGGGUCAUGACGGUACCGUAAGAAUAAGCACCGGCUAACUACGUG
rnacentral:rRNA from 1 species